rnacentral:rRNA from 1 species
UUCCGGUUGAUCCUGCCGGACCUGACUGCUAUCGGAUUGAUACUAAGCCAUGCGAGUCAUUGUAGCAAUACAAGGCAGACGGCUCAGUAACGCGUAGUCAACCUAACCUAUGGACGGGAAUAACCUCGGGAAACUGAGAAUAAUGCCCGAUAGAACACUAUAUCUGGAAUGGUUUGUGUUCCAAAUGAUUUAUCGCCGUAGGAUGGGACUGCGGCCUAUCAGUUUGUUGGUGAGGUAAUGGCCCACCAAGACUAUUACAGGUACGGGCUCUGAGAGGAGUAGCCCGGAGAUGGGUACUGAGACACGGACCCAGGCCCUAUGGGGCGCAGCAGGCGAGAAAACUUUGCAAUGUGCGAAAGCACGACAAGGUUAAUCCGAGUGGUUUGUGCUAAACGAACCUUUUGUCGGUCCUAGAAACACCGAUGAAUAAGGGGUGGGCAAGUUCUGGUGUCAGCCGCCGCGGUAAAACCAGCACCUCAAGUGGUCAGGAUGAUUAUUGGGCCUAAAGCAUCCGUAGCCGGCGCUGUAAGUUUUCGGUUAAAUCUGUAUGCUCAACAUACAGGCUGCCGGGAAUACUGCAGAGCUAGGGAGUGGGAGAGGUAGACGGUACUCGGUAGGAAGGGGUAAAAUCCUUUGAUCUAUUGAUGACCACCUGUGGCGAAGGCGGUCUACCAGAACACGUCCGACGGUGAGGGAUGAAAGCUGGGGGAGCAAACCGGAUUAGAUACCCGGGUAGUCCCAGCUGUAAACUAUGCAAACUCAGUGAUGCAUUGGCUUGUGGCCAAUGCAGUGCUGCAGGGAAGCCGUUAAGUUUGCCGCCUGGGAAGUACGUACGCAAGUAUGAAACUUAAAGGAAUUGGCGGGGGAGCACCACAAGGGGUGAAGCCUGCGGUUCAAUUGGAGUCAACGCCGGAA